CUUGAAUGGACAGCCCUGGUCCUAGCAGCCCCAGAGCAUGUUGUUACAGUCACCUCACUAACAGGUGUCUGCAGCAACCUCGAGAUGCUGCUUGGACCACAAACGGAAAGACAAAAAGCAUGUUUUGCAGGAAGGCUGGGCUUUUUGCACCAUUGCUGAUGAUGUCAGCUGAAGAGCUGUGGUUCUGCCCAGCUGAAGCUGUGUGCCUCGUUUUUUGGAAAGCAAAGCGAGGUGCACCUGGGGAAAAAUAAUUCCAGAGAUACUGCCAGGGAGAGAGGCAGCCUGCCUUCCUGCUGCUGGUUGUGGCAGAUGCUGGGGUGGCAAUGGAAGGUGAUAGUGAGAGGAUUGCCGUGCACAGGCUGGAGACAGUCGCAGGAGACAGAUCAUGUCAGGUUGAUGGCAGUCGGGACCGGAGGAGUUGGCCUGUGAGCAGUUGUGGCUAGGAGAUAGUGAAUGGCCCAGCUGUGAGAUCCUUGUGCUAUUUAGGCACUGGCAGUGAUUGGAGAUAAGAAAGGGAGCAUUCAGGUCAGCCUUCGAGGAGAGAAGCCAGACUUUUGAGUGUGGGCCUGCGGCAUUGUCUCCCGAAUGGAAGCGAUGAAAGUCCAGACGCACGGCGCGGGGCAAGCUGGGAGCGAGUGACCUUGUGCUGGCCUGGACAGAAGGCUCUAAGAGUUUUGUUAAUCUGUUGAUCUAAUGACUCACGCGAUUCGUGUGAUUUGCCUUCCCUCGUAACUUGACUGUGUCACAGCACUGGCAGCGGGCUGCCUGGUUCGCCCGGGACCUGCUUUUCCCAGCAGGUGCUGCAACACGGGAGCUGCGCGUGAACUCUGCUCUCGUGGCAGGAGCUGGGUGAGCGGCGCUGGGCAGCAGCCGCUGUUGCUGCAACUUGGCCUCCGUGCCAAGGACAGGAGGGAAGGCUCCCAGAGGUCUGCCCAGGUUGAGGUGCCAGGAGAGGGCUCUCGGCUUGGUUCCCAGGUCCCUGACCUUCCCUGUGCAUCUCUUCUGCACUCAUUACUUGAAUAUAUACCUCUCACCCGCUGUCAUCUGCCCCUUGCAGCCCAGGCCGUGCUGCUAUGAGGUUUGUCUCACAGUUCUGCUGCUUUGGGUACAUCUCGCCCGCCUCUCAGUGCCAGAAUUUGCCUCUACUUGUCUUUUGUGUGGACACUGCUCAUUCUGUGUGUUGGGAGCCAUUCUGCCUCCAGGCACACACGCAGCCAGUGCCUCCCAAAGGCUGACCUCCUUGUCCUCUAGUCUGUGUGAAUAUUCUCUGCUGCCCUCCCCACCCCACGUCCUCCAGCAGCAUGCCAGGCACCUUCCCUCUCCUCGCUUGCGCUGCUCCGGACAGCAUGCUGCUUUGAAGUGAGACCCAGAACACACAGAGAGCCCGCAGGGUGGAUGGGAUCCAAGCGGCACGUUCCGUAUCUGAUUUGUAUUGUCUGGUAACUGUUUGCUAAAUCCCUGGUGCGGGAGCUAUGUUCCAGUGCAGGAGAAAGCUCACAGUUGGUCAGAAAAUACAAACAGCAAGUAAAAUAAAAAUAAAAUAAAAUAAAUAACAAAACAAAACAAAAACACAAAACAGCAUUCGGUCUGAAGCCUAUAUGGAAAUAGCCAGUAUGGCAAUAAUCUCUAAUUUUAUUUAUUUAUUUAUUUAUUUUAAAUAACCAUUUUAAUUGAGCCAUUUUUAUUAUUGGCUAGAGAAGUUUAGUUUAGCUCUGGAAAAGGCAAAGUAUGAAGGCGACUGAGCUAAUCCAUGAAUGCCUUGCUGAGAAGUAGCUUUCUUAGAGCAGAAGGCUCUUUAGUAGGUAAAGAUAUGGAGAUAAAUCAUGCAAACUGAGACAAGGAAAAAGAGGGUGCAGGUUUAUUAGUGUCUCUCCUUCCUCAGGAGAUGAAUUGAUCUGCUGAAGCUUAAUUCAGGACUGCAUCUGUCCAAAGGAUUCGUCCAGUGCAGCGAGAAGUUCUGGGUUUGGUGGGGGACACAGUAAAAUUCUGUGGACUUGGGGAUAUAAGUCUGUAUAGUCUUAAGAUGAAUGAAGUCAGAGAAAUAGUGUUUACAGUGUCCUUCAGUCCAUCCCUCCUUCAAGAGCACAAGAAGGGCACAUCAGCUCCUGAACCGGUCCUGAACCGGAUCCAACUGGCAGAGCAGGAAGAUUCAUGCUGGGCAACCCCACCACUGCUCUCUAGGGCAGCGUGCACCCGUGGCAGUACCUACAAACACCCCGUUCGUACUCUGUGGCUGCCAAGCAAGACUUGGGGUGCUGAAGCAGGAUGCGUUGGAUCUUUUUCUUUCCUCCUUGGGGAAAGAAAUGACUGCCCUGAACCUGUCUGCUUCUUUUGGUCGUGCUGCUCUGCUCUUGGGACCUGGGAAGUGGUAUUGGGUCUUGGGAGGUUUGUGCCACUGGUGAAGCAGAGGUGAAUGAGGACUUCCUGCAGUGAUGGUAGGGGAAACCAGUGAUAAAAGAAGCUGUUGGUGCCCUUUGUGGUUUUUGUAGGAGUGUUUCUGGAGCAAAUGCUAUUGCCAUAUACUGCCGAGAGCAAAUGCUGCACAGUUGCAUGUCCCAGCAGUGUGAGAAGGAAGAUCUCAAUGACCCGAUGCUCCUGUUUGUGAAAGAUUGGUUGCACAAAAGCAGCAAUGCCCUCCCCAAUCCCUGGCAGAAGUCCCAUCUGGAUAAAGAGCUCUGCCUUCGUACACUCAGCCUCCUCUGGAGGCUGUCCAGGCCGGACAGGAGGGACCUUGUUGCCUCCCAGCUAGAAGGGAGGAACGAGACGCCUGAUCUGGACAUGGUGUUCCUGGCGAUGCUUGGCUGCCUGUAGAGAGCUUACACUGACAGGGAAGAGAACUGAGCCAGGCCUUCACGGACGUCACCCGACAGAAGCUCCUGUCCCCAAAAUUUGAUAUCUAUGUAUAGCCAGUGGCUGAGAAGAGCAGCACAGCUGUGGUUUCUGUGCCAGAGCAGAAGCUUUGGCUUAGAGGUCUCCUUUUUUCUGCCCUGUCCUUCACCUGAGGCUGGGCAAGCGGAGCUGUUGCAGCCCGACUGUGGGAGCAUCCAGUGCGCUCGGAUGGAGUGGCCUUCUCUGGUCCUGCUGUCCUCCCGGCCAGCCCUCCAGCACCCUCAGCCUGGGGAGGGAGAUAAAGGCGUUAUCUUCUGCCUCUGGUUCUCCAAACAAACAGGGCAAUGUGCCCCCCUGGGCAGGCACCUUGGACCCGCCAAAUGGCGACGCUUGUGUGGGUGCUGCUGUUUCUGCCAUCUUAGCGCAUGAAUUGACAAGCAGGGCAUUGACGGCAGCGGGGACACACACAAACGCUCCACUGUGUCCCCUCUCACACCUUCCCCUCCUCCUCCUCGGCCCCGAUGCCCGGAGGACAAUGGCUCUAUCCAAGCCAAGGUUCACAGCUGGCAAGGGCGGAGGAGAGGCCAGGACCAGGGUGGGGAGCCGGAAGGAGAAGGGCCUCGGGUCCGGAGGGAUAGCGGCUCUGAGAGGGAGCGGACAAGGAGAGAUGGGAGCUGGGGAAAUUUGGGAGGGCCUGGAAGAGGGAGAAGGUGCUGACAGGCGGAGAAGCCAGAAGGAAGGUGGGAGGAGGAAGAAGAGGGUCCAGGAGGGAGGAUGGGGCUCACUCACCUCUUCUGUAUGGAGCCGCUUGCCUUUUUCUGCAAGGCUCCUUGAGGGACAUGCCCUUGCCCUGCUGUUGUGUAGAGUGGUGCUUUCCUUUGGCUCCUCUUCUGCCUUGGGAUGUCUCGCCACACACCUUGUCUUCCCCAGAACCUGGGAGAGAGGAUGUUAUCUCUAUACUGGCUCUUAUCACCUCUCUACUAAGAGGUCAGGAGUAGCAACAGGUAGGAAGGGUUGCUGUGAGCCUGAGACAGGACAUGUCAAACACUUAGGGACACUUCCUGGCUUAUCCCAAGGCACUUUUGUCAGAUCUAUUCUGUGCACGCAAGCUAAGAAGAUGUGGGCCUGUGUGAGAGCAGAGGGGGGAUUUCCAGGUGAUGUGGGGCUGCUGCUGCCUUGGCAUUGGGCUGCAGCCCACCGAUGUUUUGGUUGCACUUUGUAAUCUGGGAGGUUUGCUGCUGGCUCACCGUUCAGCCCGGUUGUUGCUCCAGGGUCUUUCUGGCCAAUGUAGACCCUACAGCUCUUUCUAUAGCACUUGGAAUCCGGAGCCUUGGCUAAACCCCACCUCUGUGUCAGUGGGGAUGCAGGAGCCGCCCCAUUGCUUCAGGAGGGCAGGUGAUAUCCUUGGCGGUGGGCUGACAACGUGAUGUCCCUGGGAGGAGAUGUGGGGUAGAGGCUGAACUUCUGCAUCAGCUGAGGCAGUGCUGCCCUUUGUGGUGGGAAGGGGCACCCACUGGGUUUGUGCGUGCCGGAGAAGGGUGUCUUCAUGCAGCUGGAGCCACUUGGUGAUGGCACAUUGGGGUGAGUAACCAGCUGGUGCAGGUCAGCUCCGUCACUCUUGGAUCAAGUGAAGGUCCCCAAAGUGAUGGAGCUGCAUGGGUUGGCACCACAUAAACGUUUCCCCUAAAGGCAGCCUGUGCAGACCCCAGCAGGCUGUCCUGGAGGGGCUGAAGGGGAGCCAUGUGUCAGGAGGGGCUCACCCCCGGGGGGAGACGUGCUGCAGGACAGGGAGGGGACCCGGGGGGCCUUUCUGUGCUGUGGGCAGCAGAGGCUUCGCUCCAGGGUGGUCCCGAAAGCGCUUUAGGGGAGACGGGGGAGAGGUCUGGCUUGGCGUCCCACUCGGGUUACAGGAGCCACUUCUGCCGGGAGUGACUGGUUAUCGUUACAGUCAGGUAAUAAAGAGCAUUAAUUAAGGAGGAAUGCUGGGACCGGUAUCUGGGGGGAGGCAGGGGCUGCGGGGUCGCGUUCCCUCCUGCCGAAGGGGAUGUGUCCCCCCUCCGCACCCUCUGGGCAGCUCUGGGUUGGGAGCGUGGCAGGAGGGGGAGCUCAUCCCGCUGUCCCUUCAGCAAGGCGUGCUCUGUCCCCAUGGCUGGCUGUCCCCAGCUGGCUGCUGUGUCACCCAAGCCUCUGGGCAGGGACAGAACUCUGUCGUGGCCUCCUGUCCCUCACUGCAUCCCAUCCCAGGGCAGCACAGGCACAGGGGGAUGCCAUUCCCUGAAAGAGCAGGACAGUGCUGGGCAGAGCCAGCUGGAAGGAGCAGAUCUGAAGCCAAGCGCUGGCCCCACAGCUCCCCGGGCUUAGGCGGUGUUUGGUUAGCGAGCCGUGGCCCGGAUUCCUCGUGCUCGCGGCCCGGCCGGCAGCCAAUCCUCCAGGGCCGAAGGAUAAACACGGGAGGAAGGCGAAGGGGGUGCAGAGCGGCGUGGGGCCCCGGGAAUGUGCCGAUGCGGCAGCCCAGCCUGCCGAUUGCACAACCUGGGGGGGAAGAUGGUUGGGCCACGCGCCUCGAUGCCGCACUGACCGUCUGGGCAUGGUGUGCUGCUGCUGAGUGAUGCUGUGCUGAACCAGGCAAUGCCUGGCUGCUGGGAGCAGUGCCCGGCAGCAUUUGUCCUGCUCAGCCUGGUGUGCUCCUGAGGCUCGGCGCCUGUUCCAAUAUGUGCUGGAGACCACGGGUAUUUGCCCCCAUCCUGGCCAUGGGGUCAGGGCUUGGCCUCCACAGCGCCUUGGGAGCUCCUUGUCCUGUCUGGAGUGAGUGCACAGCAGCACUACAGCCCUGACGUCUGCGGCACUUCAGGAGAAGUGUCUGGGGAAACAGGCAGACCGUCAGCACAGGCGUGGCAGAGGCUGUCGCAGGUACCUUUCCUGAGCCUUUCUGUUUUGGGAGCCAAACAGUGCUGAGAUGGCGGCAGAGGGAUGGAAGCGUGCGGUAAACACUCACCAGCUGUCUGUGGGUUUUCAUUUGUCUUCAUUGCAGUCCUCUUCUCACUGGCUUUCACAGCACUCAGGGUGGAGCAGAGUGCUUCAUUUCUAAUUCAAACCUGCACUCCCUGAAACCGAGAACAAAAAUUCAGCCUCUGGUGCACGGCUACAAUGCUGCGGGGAGGCCCUUGGCUUGGCACAACCUCUUCUCUUCCUCCUCAUCGCUGGCAUUCCCCCACCCUUCACUGAUGUUCCCCAGCCCAUGAAAACAGUUGACCUCGUUGUCAUCUCCAGGUUCCCACAUCUGGUUCUCGUUAGCAGAUCCCAGGAUGCAGUUCCUCGGCUCUCUCCCUUCCUCCCACCCGCAGGUGACCCAGGCAGGAUUAUGGGCGAUUAGAAGACAGGCAACAGAGCAAGAAUAGGUGGGGGAGGGACUGUUAUAAAUAGAAAUACCAUAAACUUAUCAGCCUAUCACUCGAGGUAAAUUCUGGUUUUAAUCUCUCAGACCUGUAAAUAUGAUGACUCGCAGGGGCCAGACACCUUUAACUCUUUCAGAGCCCCGAGGCCGCGUGCCCAUCUCAGAUGGGAAACGGGAUGCAGCAGAGCACCUGAAAAGGGGACAGGGAGCACCCUGAGCCAAGAGGAUGUCACCAGAAGAGACGAGCUGGCAGACUCACUCCAUCCAAGCAGAGCAGUGGGGAGACAGCAGUGCAGGAAGCACCUCCGUUUGGAUGUCGAUCGUGUUUGGAGGUUUGGGGAAGGCAGAGAAAACCAGUCCAAACAUUGGGAUUCCUGACAUUCUCACACGUACAGGGGCCUCUGCUCGCCCAGCGCUGCUCACAAGGAGGGUGCUGCGGGUUUAACAUCUUGUUUUUCGGGCAGAGUUUACCUUUGGGGUCUCCUCCUUCCUUUUGUGAGGAAGGGGUGGAAAUGCGGGGGUCAAGAGGAAGGCAGGACAAAGGGAUCUGGCAGGUUUGGGAGUUUGUUUGCAGCACGGACUGAAGGAGGGCUGAAAUGGAAGGUUUUGCUGUAAGAGUUUGAUCUGAUGAGCCUCUCCAUGUCUGUACAGGGAGGUCAGCAUGUUAGCAGGGGGGGGUUGUACAGCGUGGCUGAAUUACUUGGCCCUGGUGCCCUCCUGCCCCACGAUGCUCAUCGUGUGCAGAGCACGCUAAUAAGCUGCUCUGCAAGAAGGUGCUCUUUGGGCAGCUCUGUGGGGUACUGCAGCACGUCUCCAGGCUCACUGCUCCAGAUUGGAGGGCAGAAUUUGUCCUGUUGAGCUUCAGGGACAUCAGCGCGUUACAGGUGACAAAACCUCUAGUGAACAUUUUGGAGCAGGUGCUGGUACAGAGGCAGGGCCGUAGGGCAGGAGGUGCUAUGUGGGCAUUGCUGCUGUCCUUCCCAUGGCAAGGAGGCGAAUGCCUGGCAGCACAGAAGCGCUUGGGGCUUCCGUGGGCUCCUCCAUCUCUCUCCUGCUGGGAGAAGGGGAUGCAGGAGUCUGUCUCGUUGCAGGGCCGUGUGGGUGUUAUGCUUCCCAGGGUCCCUGCUUCAUGGCUUCCUACUCCCUCCUAAUCCCCAGGUUGGAGGGGGAGGGAUUGUU